rnacentral:tRNA from 1 species
GGGCGGUUAGCUCAGUUGGAUAGAGCACAGGCCUCCGAAGCCUGGUGUCAUGAGUUCGAUUCUCGUACCGCCCG